GAUGAACGCUGACAGAAUGCUUAACACAUGCAAGUCUUUGGCGAAUCUGUGCUUGCACAGGCUAGCCAAGGCGGACGGGUGAGUAACGCGUAAAGAACUUGCCCUGCAGACAGGGAUAACAGACGGAAACGACUGAUAACACCUGAUACAGUUGCCGGCACGCAUGUGCCUGGCAAUGAAAAGAGAUGCUGCAGGAGAGCUUUGCGUCCUAUUAGCUUGUUGGUGAGGUGACGGCUCACCAAGGCGAUGAUAGGUAGCCGGCCUGAGAGGGUGAACGGCCACAAGGGGACUGAGAUACGGCCCUUACUCCUACGGGAGGCAGCAGUGGGGAAUAUUGGACAAUGGGGUCAACCCUGAUCCAGCAAUUCUGUGUGCACGAAGAAGGUUUUCGGAUUGUAAAGUGCUUUCAGCAGGGAAGAAGAAAGUGACGGUACCUGCAGAAGAAGCGACGGCUAAAUACGUG
rnacentral:rRNA from 1 species